rnacentral:rRNA from 1 species
CCUACGGGUGGCAGCAGUGAGGAAUAUUGGUCAAUGGUCGGGAGACUGAACCAGCCAAGCCGCGUGAGGGAGGAAGGUACAGAGUAUCGUAAACCUCUUUUGUCAUGGAACAAAGACUGGGACGCGUCCCCGGAUGAGUGUACCUGAAGAAAAAGCAUCGGCUAACUCCGUGCCAGCAGCAGCGGUAAUACGGAGGGGGCGAGCGUUGUUCGGAGUGACUGGGCGUAAAGAGCACGUAGGCGGUGUUGUAAGUCAUUAGUCAAAGACUAGAGCUCAACUUUAGUAAGGCUAGUGAUACUAUAAGACUAGAGUAUCAGAGAGGAAUGCAGAAUUCCUGGUGUAGCGGUGAAAUGCGUAGAUAUCAGGAGGAAUACCGUUAGCGAAGGCGGCAAACUGGCUGGAAACUGACGCUGAGGUGCGAAAGCGUGGGUAGCAAACAGGAUUAGAUACCCCAGUAGUC